CGAGCUCACACAUUCAGUUUAGGCUUGGCUCUCGAAGGAGAAGCACGCGCUCUCGGUCUCGUCUCUCCCAUACACGACGUGUCGACUGAUUUCACGAAUUUGUCCAAGUGGCUUCAAUCAACACGUGUCAAAAAUCCUGAAUGAAACAGAAGAAUAAAAAAAAAAGAAGAGAGAGGAAAAUUAUCGUGACAAACAUAUGCAUUCGUUUAGUUUUCUAUUCGGAGAAAACUAACCACGCCCAAAUAAUUUAUGAUAAUCAUAAUAGUUAUACAAAACUCAUGGUCAACAACCUUGCAAAAAUAUAGCAAUAAAAGAGCGCAGAAAGCGAGCAGAUUUGCGCUAUCAUCAUCGUCAUCAAGUGCCAUUUUGACAGAGAAAGUGCACUUCUCGAAUCUACUUUGUUUCCUUGUUACAUCGAUUUUUUUUUUUUUUACUUUUUAUUUUAAAUAUCUCCUUUUCGAUUAGCGAGUGUUGUUUUUUUUUCAGGUGAAGAAUGUAACGCUAUCAGUCGUACUUCUCAAAAAAAUACAAGAUAUGGUUAAAUAAAGAAGAGUUGUAUAAAGAAAAAAAUAGACAACUGAUACACACACAAAAAAAAAAAAAAGAUAAUAAAACAUUUCCAAAAUCAUAAAAUUAGAAAAGGUAAAAAAAGAAAAGAAAAGAAAAAAAAUAACAACCAAGAUAAAAACAAAAUCGACAAGAUUUAUACAUAGGCCACAACGCCUCUGGGUCAAGCAUCUUACCUUUUACCUUCGAUCACUUUUCGUCCGUUUUAUUUCCCCGCCUCUAAGCUCGCCAGCAGCAUGAGCAGGUGGCUAACGACGACCAUGUUCUUCCUGCUGCCUCUCCUGCUGCUGCUAACGAGGACAGCGCCCUCAGAAGCUACCUGCGGCUCGUGUAAUGAACGGCUGAAAGUGUCCAUCAUAUGCUGUUUGUUCGAAGGGAAAUGCUGCGUUCUAGGACCCGUUGCGAUCGGCAAACGUGACGUCACAUCGGCGUUGCAGCGACAUCCAUGGAGCGAUGACGUCGACAGUGACAUCAGUGAAAGAAUCGUUCAUCCACACGCCCGUCCGCGUUGACCUCACUCGACCAUGACUUUCUUUUUUCUUGAAUUUGUUGAGGGGGGUUAUGAUUUUUCAAUGCGGGGGGGGGGGGGGGUUAAUGCCUUUUAUAUACUUUUGUAUUUGUUAACUUCAGCAUUUUUCUUUUGUCAAUGUUUUUUUGUUUUUUUUUACUUUACUUUACUUUACUUUAUCAUUAAAAUAAAAAAUGAAGUUUAGUGUAUUUGCAUAUUCACGCUCACAAAUGAUAAAAAAUUAUGAAGAAAACAUUAUCUUUGUUAUCACUCGCACGGGUUAUGAUUCACAUGAGAAAUGUUUUUUUAAUGAUCACGAAGAUUUUCUCACAUGUGUUACCCAGUCUUUACUGGAAAAUUACUUAUAACAGUCAGUGUUGUCAUUAAUUAUCAAUUAUGUAUACUACUCACUUCCAGACAUUAUAUACCACGAAUCUCCCCAUAUUCAAUUCCAGGACACUCCAGUUAUACACAAACUAUAAAAAAAUACCAUACACGUGUUUAUAUAUGUGUGUG